CAGGAGGAACCAGACACCACUGUGGAGCCCCUUUUCUGUGGCCAACUUGAGCUUGCUCAUCCCAAGUGCAUUCUGCACCAACUGAGGCCUAUUAAGCGUGUUGCUUUUGAAGGGCCUGUAACAGGAAGGCGUUUCUAUGGCUGCCCAGUCCAGCAGGAAAAUGGUGUGAAUUGUGGUGUUGUAGAGUGGGUUGAUGGGCCUUGGCCAACUGUUCUUCAGAGAUGUUUGUGCAAACUAUGGGAGAUGUUCCAUGAGCAGAACUUUGGAAGGGUAUAGGACAAGGAGAAGUUUGAGAAGGAGUUGGCCAGGCUUAAGAGUGAACAUGAAAGGGAGUUGGCCAAGCUUAGGACUGAAAAUGACAAGCUUUGCAUUGAGUACACCAAGCUUGUUGAUGAUGUAUCCAAGAUGUUUGAUUGGCAGGAUGGUAGGGUGGACAAGAAGGUGUACCAGAAACAAGUGGAGGAGGAAGAACUUGAGAAGAAGAAGAAGGAGCUAGAGGAGAAAGCUAUGUUGGAGGUGCAGAUGGAAAAGCUCAAACUUGCAAAAGAGCAGAGGUGCAUUUUGCAGAGCCAAGCUGAUAUCAUCAAGAACACCAGGAAGGCUAUGAAGGCUGUUGAAGUUGACAGAGAUGUUCUUAAGAAGGAGAAGGCAAAGCUUGAGCUUGUUGUUGCUGAGCUGCUGAAAGAAGGGUAUGGCAGCAAGGAGAAGUUAGAGCAAAUCAAGGCCAUCCUUGAGUCUUGA
rnacentral:rRNA from 1 species